AUCAAUGUUUUUUUUUCCUCUCAUUUUAAAGAUACAAAUGCAGAUUGUCACACAGAAAAAGCUGAGAUGAUGGCGAGCCCGUGCGGGCACCGCUUUUGCGAGCGGUGCUCGCCAACAGUUUUYGAAAUGGACACCUGUCCACUUUGCCAUGCCCAGAUUGAUGCUGUGGUUGUUGGCUUCGUGGACAGGUGUCCAUUUAAUGAAGCCGUCCUGGCCGCGUGCCGGGACGUGCUUUCAUCAGAAAAAAACAAGAAGUAAAUCCGGCAAGACAUCACAAAAGAGGUCAAGACAUCACUCAAAAAUUAAGAGUAAUCAUGUAAACAUGUAAAAAUAAAACGUUUUAAAAUCAAAUCAUGUCUUCUUCACUGACCUCCGAUUUUUUCCGAGAUAAACUUUUUCUAUUCUAUUUUGUGUGCUUU